GACGUAGGGGGCAAGCGUUAAUCGGAAUUACUGGGCGUAAAGCGUGCGCAGGCGGUUUUGUAAGUCUGUCGUGAAAUCCCCGGGCUUAACCUGGGAAUGGCGAUGGAGACUGCAAGGCUAGAGUUUGGCAGAGGGGGGUAGAAUUCCACGUGUAGCAGUGAAAUGCGUAGAGAUGUGGAGGAACACCGAUGGCGAAGGCAGCCCCCUGGGUCAAAACUGACGCUCAUGCACGAAAGCGUGGGGAGCAAACAGG
rnacentral:rRNA from 1 species